rnacentral:rRNA from 1 species
CCUACGGGAGGCAGCAGUGAGGAAUAUUGGUCAAUGGCCGGAAGGCUGAACCAGCCAUGCCGCGUGAAGGUCAGUGCCCUAUGGGCGUUAAACUUCUUUUGUGCGGGAGCAAUAAUGGUCACGUGUGGCCAGACGAGAGUACCGUACGAAUAAGCAUCGGCUAACUCCGUGCCAGCAGCCGCGGUAAUACGGGGGAUGCAAGCGUUAUCCGGAUUUAUUGGGGUUAAAGGGUGCGUAGGCUGUGAGGUAAGUCAGCGGUGAAAUGCCCCCGCUCAACGGGGUGAAGUGCCAUUGAUACUGCCUUGCUGGAAUGCGGAUGCCGUGGGAGGAAUGUGUGGUGUAGCGGUGAAAUGCAUAGAUAUCACACAGAACACCGAUUGCGAAGGCAUCUCACGAAUCCGCGAUUGACGCUGAUGCACGAAAGCGUGGGGAUCGAACAGGAUUAGAUACCCCGGUAGUC